GAUGAACGCUGGCGGCGUGCCUAAUACAUGCAAGUCGAGCGAACAGACGAGGAGCUUGCUCCUCUGAUGUUAGCGGCGGACGGGUGAGUAACACGUGGAUAACCUACCUAUAAGACUGGGAUAACUUCGGGAAACCGGAGCUAAUACCGGAUAACAUGUUGAACCGCAUGGUUCAACAGUGAAAGACGGUCUUGCUGUCACUUAUAGAUGGAUCCGCGCCGCAUUAGCUAGUUGGUAAGGUAACGGCUUACCAAGGCAACGAUGCGUAGCCGACCUGAGAGGGUGAUCGGCCACACUGGAACUGAGACACGGUCCAGACUCCUACGGGUGGCAGCAGUAGGGAAUCUUCCGCAAUGGGCGAAAGCCUGACGGAGCAACGCCGCGUGAGUGAAGAAGGUCUUCGGAUCGUAAAACUCUGUUAUUAGGGAAGAACAAAUGUGUAAGUAACUAUGCACGUCUUGACGGUACCUAAUCAGAAAGCCACGGCUAACUACGUG
rnacentral:rRNA from 1 species